CUACGGGUUGCUGCAGUGAGGAAUAUUGCACAAUGGGGGGAACCCGGAUGCAGCAACGCCGCGUGGAGGAUGACGCAUUUCGGUGUGUAAACUCCUUUUAUAUGUCAAGAAAAUGACGGUAGCAUAUGAAUAAGCACCGGCUAACUCCGUGCCAGCAGCCGCGGUAAUACGGAGGGUGCAAGCGUUACUCGGAAUCACUGGGCGUAAAGGACGCGUAGGCGGGUUGGAAAGUCAGGUGUGAAAUCCUACAGCUUAACUGUAGAACCGCACUUGAAACUUCUAAUCUAGAGUAUGGGAGGGGGAGAUGGAAUUAGUGGUGUAGGGGUAAAAUCCGUAGAUAUCACUAGGAAUACCUAAAGCGAAGGCGAUCUCCUGGAACAUUACUGACGCUAAGGCGUGAAAGCGUGGGGAGCAAACAGGAUUAGAUACCCUUGUAGUC
rnacentral:rRNA from 1 species